rnacentral:rRNA from 1 species
CUGCUGCCUCCCGUAGGAGUCUGGUCCGUGUCUCAGUACCAGUGUGGGGGACCUUCCUCUCAGAACCCCUACGCAUCGUCGGUUAGGUGGGCCGUUACCCCGCCUACUGCCUAAUGCGCCGCAUGCCCAUCCCUGUCCGGCCGAAGCCUUUCCUGCCUCCGGGAUGCCCCGGUGGCAUGUACGCGGGUUUAGCCCGCCUUUCGGCGGGUUGUCCCCCUGACAGGGGCAGGGUUGCAUACGUGUUACUCACCCGUGCGCCGGUCGCCGGCGGAGAAAG